GCAGCAUGCUUUAACAUGCAAGUCGAACGGCAGCACGGGCUUCGGCCUGGUGGCGAGUGGCGAACGGGUGAGUAAUGCAUCGGAACGUGCCCAUGUCGUGGGGGAUAACGUAGCGAAAGCUACGCUAAUACCGCAUACGCCCUGAGGGGGAAAGCGGGGGAUUCUUCGGAACCUCGCGCGAUUGGAGCGGCCGAUGUCGGAUUAGCUAGUAGGUGAGGUAAAGGCUCACCUAGGCGACGAUCCGUAGCGGGUCUGAGAGGACGAUUCGUAGCGUCGAAAGAUGAUCGGCAACUGAGACACGGCCUCAGACUCCUACGGGAGGCAGCAGUGGGGAAUUUUGGACAAUGGGGGCAACCCUGAUCCAGCCAUGCCGCGUGAGUGAAGAAGGCCUUCGGGUUGUAAAGCUCUUUCGGCCGGGAAGAAAUCGGCGACUCUAACAUAGUCGCUGGAUGACGGUACCGGACUAAGAAGCACCGGCUAACUACGUGCCAGCAGCCGCGGUAAUACGUAGGGUGCGAGCGUUAAUCGGAAUUACUGGGCGUAAAGCGUGCGCAGGCGGUUUUGUAAGACAGAUGUGAAAUCCCCGGGCUUAACCUGGGAACUGCGUUUGUGACUGCAAGGCUAGAGUACGGCAGAGGGGGGUGGAAUUCCACGUGUAGCAGUGAAAUGCGUAGAGAUGUGGAGGAACACCGAUGGCGAAGGCAGCCCCCUGGGCCUGUACUGACGCUCAUGCACGAAAGCGUGGGGAGCAAACAGGAUGAGAUACCCUGGUAGUCCACGCCCUAAACGAUGUCGACUAGUCGUUCGGAGCAGCAAUGCACUGAGUGACGCAGCUAACGCGUGAAGUCGACCGCCUGGGGAGUACGGCCGCAAGGUUAAAACUCAAAGGAAUUGACGGGGACCCGCACAAGCGGUGGGAUGAUGUGGAUUAAUUCGAUGCAACGCGAAAAACCUUACCUACCCUUGACAUGUCUGGGAACCUUGGUGAGAGCCGAGGGUGCCUUCGGGAGCCAGAACACAGGUGCUGCAUGGCUGUCGUCAGCUCGUGUCGUGAGAUGUUGGGUUAAGUCCCGCAACGAGCGCAACCCUUGUCACUAGUUGCCAUCAUUUGGUUGGGCACCUCUAGUGAGACUGCCGGUGACAAACCGGAGGAAGGUGGGGAUGACGUCAAGUCCUCAUGGCCCUUAUGGGUAGGGGCUUCCACACGUCAUACAAUGGAUCGGUACAGAGGGUUGCCAAGCCGCGAGGUGGAGCCAAUCCCUUAAAGCCGAUCGUAGUCCGGAUCGUAGUCUGCAACUCGACUACGUGAAGUCGGAAUCGCUAGUAAUCGCAGAUCAGCAUGCUGCGGUGAAUACGUUCCCGGGUCUUGUACACACCGCCCGUCACACCAUGGGAGUGGGUUUCACCAGAAGUAGGUAGCUUAACCUUCGGGAGGGCGCUUAUCAC
rnacentral:rRNA from 1 species